GACGAACGCUGGCGGCGUGCUUAACACAUGCAAGUCGAACGGAAAGGCCCUGCUUUUGUGGGGUGCUCGAGUGGCGAACGGGUGAGUAACACGUGAGUAACCUGCCCUUGACUUUGGGAUAACUUCAGGAAACUGGGGCUAAUACCGGAUAGGAGCUCCUGCUGCAUGGUGGGGGUUGGAAAGUUUCGGCGGUUGGGGAUGGACUCGCGGCUUAUCAGCUUGUUGGUGGGGUAGUGGCUUACCAAGGCUUUGACGGGUAGCCGGCCUGAGAGGGUGACCGGCCACAUUGGGACUGAGAUACGGCCCAGACUCCUACGGGGGGCAGCAGUGGGGAAUAUGGCACAAUGGGCGGAAGCCUGAUGCAGCAACGCCGCGUGCGGGAGGACGGCCUUCGGGUUGUAAACCGCUUUCGCCUGUGACGAAGCGUGAGUGACGGUAAUGGGUAAAGAAGCACCGGCUAACUACGU
rnacentral:rRNA from 1 species